rnacentral:rRNA from 1 species
GAUGAACGCUGGCGGCGUGCCUAAUACAUGCAAGUCGAGCGAACGGACGAGAAGCUUGCUUCUCUGAUGUUAGCGGCGGACGGGUGAGUAACACGUGGAUAACCUACCUAUAAGACUGGGAUAACUUCGGGAAACCGGAGCUAAUACCGGAUAAUAUUUUGAACCGCAUGGUUCAAAAGUGAAAGACGGUCUUGCUGUCACUUAUAGAUGGAUCCGCGCUGCAUUAGCUAGUUGGUAAGGUAACGGCUUACCAAGGCAACGAUGCAUAGCCGACCUGAGAGGGUGAUCGGCCACACUGGAACUGAGACACGGUCCAGACUCCUACGGGAGGCAGCAGUAGGGAAUCUUCCGCAAUGGGCGAAAGCCUGACGGAGCAACGCCGCGUGAGUGAUGAAGGUCUUCGGAUCGUAAAACUCUGUUAUUAGGGAAGAACAUAUGUGUAAGUAACUGUGCACAUCUUGACGGUACCUAAUCAGAAAGCCACGGCUAACUACAUGCCAGCAGCCGCGGUAAUACGUAGGUGGCAAGCGUUAUCCGGAAUUAUUGGGCGUAAAGCGCGCGUAGGCGGUUUUUUAAGUCUGAUGUGAAAGCCCACGGCUCAACCGUGGAGGGUCAUUGGAAACUGGAAAACUUGAGUGCAGAAGAGGAAAGUGGAAUUCCAUGUGUAGCGGUGAAAUGCGCAGAGAUAUGGAGGAACACCAGUGGCGAGGGCGACUUUCUGGUCUGUAACUGACGCUGAUGUGCGAAAGCGUGGGGAUCAAACAGGAUUAGAUACCCUGGUAGUCCACGCCGUAAACGAUGAGUGCUAAGUGUUAGGGGGUUUCCGCCCCUUAGUGCUGCAGCUAACGCAUUAAGCACUCCGCCUGGGGAGUACGACCGCAAGGUUGGAACUCAAAGGAAUUGACGGGGACCCGCACAAGCGGUGGAGCAUGUGGUUUAAUUCGAAGCAACGCGAAGAACCUUACCAAAUCUUGACAUCCUUUGACAACUCUAGAGAUAGAGCCUUCCCCUUCGGGGGACAAAGUGACAGGUGGUGCAUGGUUGUCGUCAGCUCGUGUCGUGAGAUGUUGGGUUAAGUCCCGCAACGAGCGCAACCCUUAAGCUUAGUUGCCAUCAUUAAGUUGGGCACUCUAAGUUGACUGCCGGUGACAAACCGGAGGAAGGUGGGGAUGACGUCAAAUCAUCAUGCCCCUUAUGAUUUGGGCUACACACGUGCUACAAUGGACAAUACAAAGGGCAGCGAAACCGCGAGGUCAAGCAAAUCCCAUAAAGUUGUUCUCAGUUCGGAUUGUAGUCUGCAACUCGACUACAUGAAGCUGGAAUCGCUAGUAAUCGUAGAUCAGCAUGCUACGGUGAAUACGUUCCCGGGUCU